AUUGAACGCUGGCGGCAGGCUUAACACAUGCAAGUCGAGCGGGGUGAUGGUGCUUGCACUAUCACUUAGCGGCGGACGGGUGAGUAAUGCUUAGGAAUCUGCCUAUUAGUGGGGGACAACAUCUCGAAAGGGAUGCUAAUACCGCAUACGUCCUACGGGAGAAAGCAGGGGAUCACUUGUGGCCUUGCUCUAAUAGAUGAGCCUAAGUCGGUUUAGCUAGUUGGUGGGGUAAAGGCCUACCAAGGCGACGAUCUGUAGCGGGUCUGAGAGGAUGAUCCGCCACACUGGGACUGAGACACUGCCCAGACUCCUACGGGAGGCAGCAGUGGGGAAUAUUGGACAAUGGGGGGAACCCUGAUCCAGCCAUGCCGCGUGUGUGAAGAAGGCCUUAUGGUUGUAAAGCACUUUAAGCGAGGAGGAGGCUCUUUUGGUUAAUACCCAAGAUGAGUGGACGUUACUCGCAGAAUAAGCACCGGCUAACUCUGUGCCAGCCGCCGCAGUAA
rnacentral:rRNA from 1 species